rnacentral:rRNA from 1 species
GGCAAAAGCUCAAAUUUGAAAUCUAGCACUUUCAGUGUUCGAGUUGUAAUUUGAAGAAGGUAACUUUGGAAUUGGCUCUUGUCUAUGUUCCUUGGAACAGGACGUCACAGAGGGUGAGAAUCCCGUGCGAUGAGAUGUCCAAUUCUAUGUAAAGUGCUUUCGAAGAGUCGAGUUGUUUGGGAAUGCAGCUCUAAGUGGGUGGUAAAUUCCAUCUAAAGCUAAAUAUUGGCGAGAGACCGAUAGCGAACAAGUACAGUGAUGGAAAGAUGAAAAGAACUUUGAAAAGAGAGUGAAAAAGUACGUGAAAUUGUUGAAAGGGAAGGGCUUGAGAUCAGACUUGGUAUUUUGUGUUCCUUAUCCUUCUUGGAUUAGGUUCCUCACAGCUUACCGGGCCAGCAUCGGUUUGGAUGGCAGGAUAAUGACAUUGGAAUGUAGCUUUGCUUCGGUGAAGUGUUAUAGACUUUGUUGAUACUGCCUAUCUAGACCGAGGACUGCGUCUUUGACUAGGAUGCUGACGUAAUGAUCUUAAGCCGCCCGUCU